rnacentral:rRNA from 1 species
UAGGGAAUCUUCCGCAAUGGGCGAAAGCCUGACGGAGCAACGCCGCGUGAGUGAUGAAGGUCUUCGGAUCGUAAAACUCUGUUAUUAGGGAAGAACAAAUGUGUAAGUAACUAUGCACGUCUUGACGGUACCUAAUCAGAAAGCCACGGCUAACUACGUGCCAGCAGCCGCGGUAAUACGUAGGUGGCAAGCGUUAUCCGGAAUUAUUGGGCGUAAAGCGCGCGUAGGCGGUUUUUUAAGUCUGAUGUGAAAGCCCACGGCUCAACCGUGGAGGGUCAUUGGACACUGGAAAACUUGAGUGCAGAAGAGGAAAGUGGAAUUCCAUGUGUAGCGGUGAAAUGCGCAGAGAUAUGGAGGAACACCAGUGGCGAAGGCGACUUUCUGGUCUGUAACUGACGCUGAUGUGCGAAAGCGUGGUGAUCAAACAGG